CCAAUAAUUUUAGUAUUACUCAUCUUCGUGUUCAAAAGGAUCCUAGUUAAAUUUGAAGUGCUUAAUAAUUUUGUUAUAUUAUUUUAAAAUUCAUAUAAUACAGUCACGUACAUUAAUUAAAUAUUUCUUGUUCUAAUAAAAAAAGCUUUUGCUAAACUUAACUUGACCUUGCUAGUUCUUUUCCGUUCAGCUACCGCGAUUGGAACAUGUCUUAUUCACCUGAAAGAAGAUCGGAGGAUUGGCCGGAGGAUCCUAAAAAUGGGCCGUCGAAGGAUCAAGUCAGCUUCGAUGGACCCCCGGGCUUGGAACCCGGCGGCGCGCUCGACACAAACUGGCAUGAGGUCGUGGAAAGCUUUGAUGACAUGAAGCUGAAAGAAGAGCUUUUGAGAGGAAUUUACGCCUACGGUUUUGAAAAGCCUUCGGCCAUCCAGCAACGCGCGAUUAUGCCUUGCAUCCAGGGCCGCGACGUUAUAGCUCAAGCCCAGUCGGGAACUGGCAAAACUGCCACUUUCUCUAUUUCUAUUCUACAGCAAAUUGACACCACUGUUCGCGAGUGUCAAGCUCUUAUUUUAGCCCCAACUAGAGAGUUGGCCCAACAGAUCCAGAAGGUGGUGAUAGCUCUCGGCGAUCACUUGAAUGCCAAAUGCCAUGCUUGUAUUGGUGGUACUAACGUGCGUGAAGAUAUCCGCCAGUUGGAGAGCGGUGUUCACGUGGUAGUGGGCACCCCUGGCCGCGUGUACGAUAUGAUAACUCGCCGCGCUCUCCGUGCCAAUACAAUCAAGUUGUUUGUGCUUGAUGAAGCUGAUGAGAUGUUGUCCAGAGGGUUCAAGGAUCAAAUUCACGAUGUAUUCAAGAUGCUGUCUGCGGAUGUGCAGGUCAUUCUGCUGUCAGCUACUAUGCCAGAUGAUGUGCUGGAGGUGUCCAGGUGUUUCAUGAGGGAGCCUAUUCGCAUCCUUGUGCAAAAGGAAGAGCUAACAUUGGAGGGUAUCAAACAGUUCUUCAUCUCCAUUGAGCUGGAAGAUUGGAAGUUGGACACUCUCUGUGACUUGUACGACACAUUGUCUAUUGCUCAGGCUGUAAUUUUCUGCAAUACCCGCCGCAAGGUGGACUGGCUCACGGAGUCCAUGCACGAGCGCGACUUCACCGUGUCGGCCAUGCACGGAGACAUGGACCAGCGCGAGCGCGAGGUGAUCAUGCGCCAGUUCCGCACCGGCUCGUCGCGCGUGCUCAUCACCACUGACCUGCUUGCGCGCGGCAUCGACGUGCAGCAGGUCUCGUGCGUCAUCAACUACGACCUGCCCACUAACCGCGAGAAUUACAUCCAUCGGAUUGGAAGAGGUGGCCGUUUCGGUCGUAAGGGAAUCGCCAUUAACUUUGUCACUGAAGCGGACAAGCGAGCGCUGAAGGACAUCGAGGACUUCUACCACACAACAAUAACGGAAAUGCCCAACGACGUGGCCAACCUCAUCUAAGGCUCCGGUGCAUUCCAGUUUAUAAUUUGUGUCCUGCAUUCUAUUGCGAUAUAUAAACGAAAUCUACCAACUGAGCUGUUGAAACGCACUUUGGACACAACUAUGUGGAAAUAAUAAAUCAAAAUUUCCUCUAAGUCAUUACUUUCUUUUUGACAGGUCCUUUUUUUGAAUCCUGUGUUCCCAUAUAAUGCUAUUAAUUUUCUACAUGGUUUUAUGUUGAUUUCGAUUAUUAUUUUAUAUUUUUGGAAUAAAUUUUCUUCGAAAUAUACGAAGUUGGUAAUUAAGGUUCCUAUUUUAAAGUGCGAAAACAUACUUAUUACUACUACUACUACACUAAUGAAGAUUAUCUAAACAUGAAAUAUACUUAGUAUAAUUGUUUGUACAUUAGGUACCGAAAGUUGCUAUUGAUAUUUUCAAACACCUUAUGUAUACCACUUAGUUUUCAGUAAGCCGAAUAACUAUUAUCAUUCAUAAUAAUUGCCCUAAAUGUUACAUAAAGGCUACAGAUACAA
rnacentral:misc_RNA from 1 species